UGAGGCGUUGAGCUAACCCGUACUAAUUGCUCGUGAGGCUUGAUCAUAUAA
rnacentral:rRNA from 1 species